GUAAGAAAUCUAUCGCAUAGGGAAUACUUAUCUCUAUGAUGAACUAGACAUCUGUGGAUUGCUCAUUAAAAGAGUUUUAUACUCAGCCACUGGAAAAUGAUGAAAUUUAUUUUAUCAUUAAAUGGAUAACGCUGUUAACUUCUGCGAUAAUACAUGUCUUAUACAGAGUUGAGAUUGGAUUGUCAGUCUUGAUUCAGUAAUAGGGGAGAAAUGAUGGACCUCUAUUAAAACCAUAUUAUUGAUUAUCGAAACCAGGUUUACCUGGAGGUAGGUAGUUAAAUGAUUGGUUAUUGACCGACUUGAAUCAAAAUGAAUUUUCUCCUGGGUUUUAAUCGGCUUAGGAAAGAAGAAUUCAGAAAGUUGGCCCAGAGGAAGUGAUUCUUACCUAUCAGUUUCUGAUGCUCAAGUAAGGUUUGAGCUUGACUAUUACGGGUACGGGGAAUUAGUGUUCAAAAUCCGGAGAGGGAGCCUGAGAAAUAGCUACCACAUCUAAGGACGGCAG
rnacentral:rRNA from 1 species